GCCGACGUAGCUCACCAGGUAGAGCGGCGCCUUCGUAACGCGCAGGUAGGCGGUUCGAGUCCGCCCGUCGGCUC
rnacentral:tRNA from 1 species